AAAUUCUGAACCUCAAGAACUAGACCAAAGCAACAAAGCGAGGUGCAGUUUCAGUGAGGGAGGAAAAAAAGAGUGAGAAGAAAGUCGAGAUCAUGUCCCUUUGGAAGGUGCUCCUGAUGGUAAUCGCGCUCAUCUGCGCCCUGCAUACUACUUCAGGGAGACCUCCCGUCGUGGGAUAUCCUGCUCCUCGUCCCAACGGUAGCUCGGGCACACGAUGCUACGAAGGCUGCAACCCUCCAGGUAGAGAUGGCAACAGGGAUCCAUAACAGAGACCCUCUGCUACCCUCCAGGUAGAGAUGGCAACAGAGAUCCAUAACCAGAGACUCUAUAGGUUUUUAUUUUAUUAGGAGUCAUAUAUGAUCUAAUUCUUGUAUCUAUGGAUUUAUCAACAGAAAAAAAAUCCUUACAUGUUGGAUAGAUGGGUAUUAGUUCUUUAGCCACUCGUACCCCUUACCUAUGGGUAAAAAAUACCUAUAUGCUUAGCGUGAUAGUUUACUUACUUUGAACGUUCAUGUAUGGUUUAAUACUAGUAUGGUUUAUUUACUUGUUAUAUAUGGUUUAAUUCUUGCAUGAUUUGUUUACUUGUAUUUGAAUGCUAAUACUAAAACCAAGGUUACUUAA